UGCUUGAUAAAAAAAAAAAAAAAAAUAGGGAUUAGCUCUCAAACCAAACUUGCAUUAAUGGGAGACUUUUCUAGCCUCAAACACACUAAAAAAUUAUUUCCUAAGACAUAGUGAUUCUUAUUCAAGUUUAUAUGUAUAUAAACUUAGAUAUAUACGGAUAUGGAAUUAUAGCUAGAAUAGUUUUUCUUUUGUGGCUCUUUUAUAUACACUUAAACCAAAACAAUCAUGUAAGGACAGAGGUCUGAGCGCUUUAUGGUAAUGGGGUACUUGCCUGAUAUAUAACAAAGCCUGAUCUAGAAUAUUAAGGAAUGCAGAUUUUCAUAUUAGCUUAACAUGUCAGUCUUUGGGCCCAUUCUUGUCAGCCAGAAAUUUAAUCUACCCCAAGUUAAUCCAAGCUUGGCUAAGGAUGUUCUCAGACCUGCGGCACCUAACUCAGAGCAGGGCUCCGACCUCUGCAUUCUCUUCUUUACACCUGAGAGGACUGUACUACACUGUUCAAAGGGCGAAAACAUUUUGCCCUUACAUUCAAACUCUGUUAUGCCACAUUUAACAUAACACGCUUAUCAAAAAAAAAAAGAAAAAUGCAGCAAAAUUCAUCUUUGGAAGAAAAAAAAAAACACCACAACUUUACGGGUCCUUGGAAGCCAUGGAAAGCUAAGGGAUAGAGCAAAUUCUUUUUAUCCCUAAAAAAGUGAUUUCAGCAGGGGACCAUGUCUGCACAUUCCCGAGGUCAGCCGAGUUGGAGAGAAAGAGAAGCAAAUGAAAACGAAAUCACUCCACAUCAUCUCUAGCGGUUUGCCCUCAAGUCUCAAAGAACAGAAACAAGAUUCCUUUCUCCUUUGCUUCAAAACUCUUUGGAUUCAAGUUGCCUUCUAAUUCUUCCCUCCUCUGUAAUUCUUAGUUAUCACAAAUGAACACCAGAGAAUCUCAGGUGGUCCACCCAUAGCAGAGUGAAUAAAGAUUCUAAUGCUUUGGAAGUCUGCCCACACCACACAGAUGUCCUACACAUAAUCCCAGCCUCAACCUUUCCCUUAGGUCAAGUCUAAAUUAUACCAUCUUCCUUUGCAAAAACAUGCAAAUACCCCUACCAACGCUCAAAAUAGAGUGGUAAUUGACAGUGAACAGAAACCCAUUGCAAAGACAAAAUAUUCCAGCUUUCUCUACUUUCAAAAAAAAAAAAAAAUCAAAUUCACCGUAAC